AUUACUUACUGCGGUUGUGUCUCAAUAGCAUUCUAAUUGAUUUACAAUAAUUCUAAUACUCGUACAUUUAUUAACACGUAAUGAUAUAUUCAUUCGAUUAAAUAUUUUAAUAAAUCUAAAUUGUUAUUUGUAUCAUAGUUUUACUAGACAUGCUAUUAUACUAGAUUUUUAACUCUAUUAAUAUAGAGUAUAGAGAUUCAAUAUUUGUAUGGAAUAAUUACAUUAAUGGUGUAAACUAUACAAUUUAGAACACAAUAAAGUGGUAUGAAGAAAGAAAAAAAAUUGUUGAAAUAAAAUCAUUUUUAUUGUACCUACUUCAAUAGUUUGUAAUAAUAUGCAUUAUCCUUAUACAGAAUAAUAAGAAAACUUCCUAAAAUGUCAAUUAUAUAGUCGUUUUAAAUUGUUUGUGCAUCACUGGAACAUAAUCAUCGUAUUUGGCAUAAAAGAAAUUACCAGCCACUGGGUCACCAAACUUGUGAUUUUGUACAAAUAGUUUAGUGUUAAAACUGAUCCGAUGUGCAAUAGUUCUAAAAAUGUAGAAUACAAAUAUAUAGUACUACUGAACUAAUAAUACUUACCUACUACUUAC